GAUGAACGCUGGCGGCGUGCCUAAUACAUGCAAGUCGAGCGAACAGACGAGGAGCUUGCUCCUCUGACGUUAGCGGCGGACGGGUGAGUAACACGUGGAUAACCUACCUAUAAGACUGGGAUAACUUCGGGAAACCGGAGCUAAUACCGGAUAAUAUAUUGAACCGCAUGGUUCAAUAGUGAAAGACGGUUUUGCUGUCACUUAUAGAUGGAUCCGCGCCGCAUUAGCUAGUUGGUAAGGUAACGGCUUACCAAGGCAACGAUGCGUAGCCGACCUGAGAGGGUGGGCGCCCACAUGGGAACGGAGACACGUCCCAGCCCCCGAGGGAGGGCAGCAGGGGGAAAUCUCCCGAAGGGGGCGAAAGCCGGACGAACCAACGCAAGGGGGGGAAUGAAGGUCUCGGGAUCGAAAAACUUUGUUAUUGGGAAAAAAAAAAUGUGAAAGAAACUAUGCAGGUCUUGAGGGUACCAAAACAAAAACCCACGCCUAACUACGG
rnacentral:rRNA from 1 species